GCCUUGGUCCACCUUGAAGCUCUGCCUCUCUAAAAGAUGAAAUAUAGACAGGGCUAUGCUCUCCAAAUGUAUCGAGCUUCUGAGAGCUAAGCAAAAAAUUCUUGUUGAUGGAGCGGUAGAAAUUGAGGAAUGGCACACCUAACCAGCUUACAGAAUCUUCUGAGCUCUCAUAAUCUUUACUCGGUAGAGCAGGUGAAACUGGAUACGCCACCUUGAAUUCGUUUUGCUGUUCUGGGAGAUCUAUUGGAGGGAAAGUUGAAGAGUUUGAAGGAGGAAGCAAGAUCUUAGUAUUGGUUGGAAUCUCCCCUGAUGUCUGACGCUCGCCUAUCCAUGCUGCAUCAAGAGUAGCUGAUAGAUUUUUCAUAACUAUCUCGCCAUCAGACUGUGUCUUGCGAACAUCCAAAUAGUAGAGAAGCGCGACUGUUGCAUUGACACCAGUGCAGCUUUUUGCAUAAAUGUAAUAGAAUGUACCAAAUAGGAGGCUGGCUUCUAAUUUUCUUUUAAUCGCAACUCUAAUUCCUUAAUCUUCAGUCUUCUAUUUUUGUUGGUGUAGCUCAUAUUGUUGCUUUGACAUUUAAAUCACUCUGAAAAAAAACUUCGCAGACCAGAGAGAGGGAUGCGAAACGAACCCAUUAAUGGAGGUUUAAGAGGGGUUUGAGUCUUAUAUAGAGAUUCCCCUUCUAGAGAUAUUUGGCGUUGAUACUCAGGUGACGUCAAGGCGUAUGCGAUCAUACUUGUGGGUUCAUCAUCAUACACCGGAACAACAAUAUCAUUGAUGCCUACGGGAAGAAGUAGCCUUGGUCCACCUUGAAGCUCUGCCUCUCUAAAAGAUGAAAUAUAGAUAUGGCUAUGCUCUCCAAAUGUAUCGAGUUUCUGAGAGCUAAGGAGAAAAUUCUUGUUGAUGGAGCGGUAGAAAUUGAGGAAUGGCACACCUAACCAGCUUACAGAAUCUUCUGAGCUCUCAUAAUCUUUACUCGGUAGAGCAGGUGAAACUGGAUACGCCACCUUGAAUUCGUUUUGCUGUUCUGGGAGAUCUAUUGGAGGGAAAGUUGAAGAGUUUGAAGGAGGAAGCAAGAUCUUAGUAUUGGUUGGAAUCUCCCCUGAUGU
rnacentral:lncRNA from 1 species